rnacentral:rRNA from 1 species
UAGGGAAUAUUGGACAAUGGGGGCAACCCUGAUCCAGCCAUGCCGCGUGAGUGAAGAAGGCCCUCGGGUUGUAAAGCUCUUUUGUCCGGAAAGAAAAGCUUCGGGUUAAUACCCCGGGGUUCUGACGGUACCGGAAGAAUAAGCACCGACUAACUUCGUGCCAGCAGCCGCGGUAAUACGAAGGGUGCAAGCGUUACUCGGAAUUACUGGGCGUAAAGCGUGCGUAGGUGGUUGUUUAAGUCUGAUGUGAAAGCCCUGGGCUCAACCUGGGAAUGGCAUUGGAAACUGGGCAGCUAGAGUGCGGUAGAGGGUAGUGGAAUUCCCGGUGUAGCAGUGAAAUGCGUAGAGAUCGGGAGGAACAUCUGUGGCGAAGGCGACUGCCUGGACCAGCACUGACACUGAGGCACGAAAGCGUGGGGAGCAAACA